GAAUUCCUUUUCCGAUAAAUAGCAAUCUCUAGAGAUAAAGCUCCAAUGGUCUUAUGGUAAGGCAAAGUUAUCUCCCAAUUGUAAAAAGUUCUGUACAUUGGGAGGUAUGGAAACACUUGACAGAUUCACGAACCAGCCAUUCCUUGGUGAGGAAAACGAUGGAGGAGGAAUCAAUGGGAGAAAAGGCUGAGGAUCAAUCUGUAUCUCUCUAACUAUUCCACCAGUAGAAUUCUGUACCUUAGGGUACAACGACAACAUUCCCAUUCGCCACUCCAUCACUGCAAUGGACAGCAUCGGUAGAGACAGACACAUGGACUUAACAUGCAGACGGAUAUGGAGGGGCUU